rnacentral:rRNA from 1 species
GCACAAGCGGUGGAGCAUGUGGUUUAAUUCGACGAUACACGAAGAACCUUACCUGGACUUGACAUAGUAAGAACUUUCUAGAGAUAGAUUGGUGUCUGCUUGCAGAAACUUAUAUACAGGUGCUGCACGGCUGUCGUCAGCUCGUGUCGUGAGAUGUUGGGUUAAGUCCCGCAACGAGCGCAACCCUCGUCAUUAGUUGCUAACAGUUCGGCUGAGAACUCUAAUGAGACUGCCUACGCAAGUAGGAGGAAGGUGAGGACGACGUCAAGUCAUCAUGGCCCUUACGUCCAGGGCUACACACGUGCUACAAUGGGAUAUACAAAGAGCGGCAAUACGGUGACGUGGAGCAAAUCUUAUAAAAUAACUCCCAGUUCGGAUUGUAGUCUGCAACUCGACUACAUGAAGUUGGAAUCGCUAGUAAUUGUAGAUCAGCUAUGCUACGGUGAAUACGUUCCCGGGC